GCGAGUUUGCUUAUACCAAGAAUCUCCGGGGCGGAAACCACGUGAGCAUUGGAUAGAUAUUUAGUCGCUAUUUUCGACGCAAGAAAUGGAGCCUUCUUCUUCAUCACUGCUCUAAUCCUCGAUAUAAAUUGUGGCAAUACCGCGAAUGCCAUCUGGCAAAGAGGACAAUCUACGACAGUUUCGAAUCUUCAGUUUUUUCAGAGAAGAACAAUUUUGCAGCCAUUCGGGCAAUACCCUCAAGUUGGGACAACCCGCAAUUUUUAUCUUCUGCAGUGUGCUUGCAGAACCUUCGAGCCACCUGGGCAACGAAACUAAUUCCGGCAAUCCCUCGAAUCUGAAGGAUUGAAGCCUCGACGUGGAGCGUGGUUCAUUCCUUUCGCCUUCUGGCAGCCUCAAUCUCUCGCUGUACCCAAUCCAGAGAUGCUCUAAUGCCUGGAGAUUCUUGAUGCCUUGUGGUAAAGAGGCCAACUUCGGACAAUUUGCGAUGGCCAAUACACGGAGCGACGUGAGCGAUUGGAUAUCAUCGAACAAGGUCUCCAAAUUCAUGCAGUCUGCAAUGAAUAGCCACCGCAGAGAGGUCAAGCAUCCUAUUCCACUCUCCGAGAAACGCUGCUGUUUCGUGGUUACCGACAAAAAACGGAGGUUGAUCAUAUUCUUUAUGUUUGCAGGCAAUUCCUCGAGUUCCGUGCACCCGCUAAGAACUAAGCACUGCAGAUUGCGAAGCUUGCAGACCGAUUUGGGGAGUUUCUUGAGAUUAGGGCUAUAGCAUAAAUGAAGAUUCCUCAAAUGCUUUAGAGUGCCAAUAGAACUGGGCAGUAGGUCAAAGGUGGAUUCAUGUAGCACUAGCACUCGCAUGUGCUUGAAUCGCUCAAUGCACGUCUCCAGAAAGAACUCCUCAGAGGAACCCAACUUCUCAGACAUGACGGUACGAACACGGCUGAGUUUGCUCAAGCAGCCAGGUAGUUCAUCUUUCGGUACAUCAAAUGUGUUGAAAAUUGAUAUAUGCCGAGUGCUCGGGGAAAUAUCCUGCGUGCGCUCUUUCGUCAUGUUGCACGAUUCGGUUUGUGCCACUGAAAUGGCAAGUUCGUGAAUGAGAUCAUGCAUCUUGAAGAUCACUACCGGAUAACGUUCCGCGACGACAUCGAAGAAGGAUCUCGAGAACAGCUCCUUCAAGUACUGCCGUCCAAUCUCUUCCAGCUCCUGAUUUUUUCUUCUGGGUUGGAUAAAACCGUUCGAGAUCCAAAAUUGGAUCAAAUCAAAGUUGCUGAACUCGUGAUUCUUUGGGAAUAUCGAGCAGUAAGCAAAACAUUGUUUCAAGUAAGACGGCAUUAGAUCAUAGCUUAUUCUUAGUGAAGGUAAAAUGCCAGUGUCUAAUUGCCAAAUCUCACUAUCUCUUACAAAUUCCCAGUCACUCUUCUGGUUGUGUUUUGAAUACAACAAACUUCCCAAAGUCUUCAUCGCCAGAGGAUUUCCCCCGCACUUCCUCACAAUUUCCUUGCCGAUAACCAUAAGGUCCGGGUGAUUUCUCUCUUUCCCUUGAUCAAACGCACAAUUCACAAACAAAGUCAGAGAAUCCUCCCGCGAAAGGUUGGCCAAAUCAAAAGGGUAGCGAGUGCCCAUGAUUGAGGUGAUAAAUUUAUUCCGCGAAGUGACUAUGAUUUUACUCCCUUUGGAAACACCUCCUAACAAAUAUGUCAAUUGCUCCCACUCCUCCCUCCUCACUUGCCACACAUCGUCCAUUACAAACAAACACCUUUUGUUCUCCACUCUGCUUCUUAGGUCAUUUUGUAGCAUCUCAAGGGUCCGGUUAUCAAAUUUUGCUUCGUUAUUAAGACACUUGAUGAUGUCUCUCAUUGUCUUCUCAAUUUCAAAUUCUAAUGGCAUGGAUAACCAAACUUUGUGUUCGAAAUGCUCCUUUACCCUUUCAUCAUUGUAUAUCAAUUUAGCAAGAGUCGUCUUUCCAGUACCUCCCAUUCCAAUAAUCGGAAGGACUGCUAUAAUUCCAGCUCCACCAUAAUCUGAUCUUUUCAACAGCUCAAUUAUCCUUUCCUUUUCUUCAUCCCUUCCAAUUAUAUUCGAAGUGCGUACAAAAGAGUAAGUUUUCCUCCGCGGAACGAUAGCCUUUUCAUGAAUAUCACUCGACAAGUUGAACUUGAUUUUCUCUUCAUUUAUCCUAUCAAGUCUCUUUCCCAAUUCUUUCAUUUUAUGUGCUAUCUUAAACGAGUACGAGUAGCGUACCUUGAGCGUCAAGUGCUCGGUCCUCCUCACCCGCCCACACAAAGCGUUGGUUUCAAAUUCGUCUAGCACGUCCUCGGCAUCGUAGCAGAAGUCUUUAAGUUUCGACAACCAAAGCCUCACAGCUUCCUGUUUUGUUUGUUUCUGCUCAGCAUCGGCGAGCACCUUCUGGAUCAUCUCUAGGUCAUCCUUGACGCCCCACACUAGUUGAAUUUCUUCAACUGCCAAUGAAGCUAGUUUCUGCAGAAGAGGUCCGAGGAUGCUAGAGACAACCUCAGUCAUGGUUGUGUUUGGUGUUAUUGGUUCUCGAGGAGGUUUGGGGUCACCGCUGUGCAGGAACUAAACUAGUUAUCAGCAGAAGGAUAGCAGAGAAGCAUGAUUUUACCAGGUUAUAUAGGCAGAGACAGAGAAAUACACAUGGUGAAAUGGAGUAAGCACAACGUUAUUCCAAACUGUUGCAUAUUCUCUCAAUUCUUGGUGGAAAUCUGCAAGCAAUUCAAUGCCAUUCCAAUUAGAUUUGGAAUAUCCUUCGUCUAAUGAAAGAUAAAGCAAAAGUAGCCUGAAUUCUGCUACCUUUCUCUUUAAUUUUUACUACAUUAUUUUCUUUGUAACCCUGUUCCUCGUAGACAAAUAUGUGCACAGAUAAGAAUAAGCUCUUUUUAUUGCUUGAUCUCUGUAUUAGAGGCCCACUCUUUCGCCCUUCUUUGGUUUAGAAGUAUGUGCUGUUUUCCUCU
rnacentral:lncRNA from 1 species